rnacentral:rRNA from 1 species
UCUGAGAAGGCUAAAGGGAGCGGAAGAACUUCCGUUAAGGAACUAGGCAAAAUGACCUCGUAACUUCGGGAAAAGAGGUGCUCCUAAAGGUGUCAAAACCGGAAGGAGUUGCAGUGACAAGGCCCUGCCGACUGUUUACCAAAAACACAGGUCUAUGCGAAUUCGGAAAGAAGAAGUAUAUGGACUGACGCCUGCCCAGUGCUGGAAGGUUAAGGGGAGUGGUGCAAGCUACGAACCGAAGCCCCAGUAAACGGCGGCCGUAACUAUAACGGUCCUAAGGUAGCGAAAUUCCUUGUCGGGUAAGUUCCGACCUGCAUGAAUGGCGUAACGAGUUGGGCGCUGUCUCAACGGAGGAUCCGGUGAAAUUCCAGACUGGGUGAAGAUGCCCAGGACCCGCAGUUAGACGGAAAGACCCCAUGGAGUUUUACUGUAACUUGAUAUUGUAAUUUGUUGUUAUGUGUACAGGAUAGGUGGGAGGCGGAGAAUCAAGGUCGUCAGAUUUUGAGGAGCCGACGGUGGGAUACCACCCUCAUGAUAAUGGAUUACUAACUAUUGUGUAUGAAGAGUACAGAUAGGACAGUGUUAGGUGGGCAGUUUGACUGGGGCGGUCGCAUCCUAAAGAGUAUCGGAUGCGUGCGAAGGUAGGCUCAGGUUGGUUGGAAAUCAACCGUUGAGUGCAAGGGCAAAAGCCUGCCUGACUGCGAGACUGACAGGUCGAGCAGAAGCGAAAGCUGGUCCUAGUGACCCGGCCGAUCCGAGUGGAAGGGCGGUCGAUCAACGGAUAAAAGUUACCCUGGGAUAACAGGCUAAUCACGCCCGAGAGUUCACAUCGACGGCGUGGAUUGGCACCUCGAUGUCGGCUCAUCGCAUCCUGGGGCUGAAGCAGGUCCCAAGGGUUGUGCUGUUCGCACAUUAAAGCGGUACGUGAGCUGGGUUCAGAACGUCGUAAGACAGUUCGGUCCCUAUCUGCUGUGGGUGAAGGAAGCUUGAAGGGAGUCGCUUCUAGUACGAGAGGACCGAAGUGAGUGUACCUCUGGUGAACCAGCUGUCAGGCCAAUGGCAGGAGCUGGGUAGCUAAGUACGUAACAGAUAACCGCCGAAAGCAUCUAAGCGGGAAACUGACCCUAAGAUGGAGCUUCCCAUUCGUAAGAAGUAAGGGUUGUUCGAGACUAGGACGUUGAUAGGUCGCAGGUGUAAGUGCAGCGAUGCAUUGAGCCGAGCGAUACUAAUAGCCCGAGGCUUUG